CCUACGGGUGGCAGCAGUGGGGAAUAUUGCGCAAUGGGCGAAAGCCUGACGCAGCGACGCCGCGUGAGGGAUGAGGGUCUUCGGAUCGUAAACCUCUGUCAGCAGGGAAGAACGGUCACUGUGCUAAUCAGCAGUGAAUUGACGGUACCUGCAAAGGAAGCACCGGCUAACUCCGUGCCAGCAGCCGCGGUAAUACGGGGGGUGCGAGCGUUAAUCGGAAUUACUGGGCGUAAAGCGCUCGUAGGCGGUAUGUCAAGGCAAGGGUGAAAUCCCCGCGCUCAACGUGGGAACUGCCUUUGAAACUGGCAAGGUGGAGGGUGUGAGAGGAUAGUGGAAAUGCAGGUGGAGGAGGGGAAUCCGUAG
rnacentral:rRNA from 1 species